rnacentral:rRNA from 1 species
AUUGAACGCUGGCGGCAGGCCUAACACAUGCAAGUCGAGCGAGCGGCGGACGGGUGAGUAAUGUCUGGGUAACUGCCUGAUGGAGGGGGAUAACUACUGGAAACGGUAGCUAAUACCGCAUACCAUCAGAUGUGCCUAGAUGGGAUUAGCUAGUAGGUGGGGUAACGGCUCACCUAGGCGACGAUCCCUAGCUGGUCUGAGAGGAUGCCCAGCCAGUCUGGAACGGAAACACGGUCCGGACGCCUACGGGAGGCAGCAGUGGGGAAUAUUGCACAAUGGGCGAGAGCCUGAUGGAGCCAUGCCGCGUGUGUGAAGAAGGCCUUCGGGUUGUAAAGCACUUUCAGCGGGGAGGCGUUACCCGCAGAAGAAGCACCGGCUAACUCCGUGCCAGCAGCCGCGGUAAUUC